rnacentral:tRNA from 1 species
GCUUGCUUGGUGAAAAUGGUAUACACAAAAGACUUAAAAUCUUUUUUCUAUAACUAGAAAUGCUGGUUCAAGUCCAGCAGCAAGUA